UGGAGUUUAAACGGAAGCUCUAACAUUUGGGAGAGCGCCAGAUAAGGAGCUUGCUCCUUUGACGUUAGCGGCGGACGGGUGAGUAACACGUGGGUCAACCUACCUAUAAGACUGGAAUAACUCCGGGAAACCGGGGCUAAUGCUGGAUAAUAUUUAGAACCGCAUGGUUCUAAAGUGAAAGAUGGUUUUGCUAUCACUUAUAGAUGGACCCGCGCCGCAUUAGCUAGUUGGUGGGGUAAUGGCUUACCAAGGCAACGAUACGUAGCCGACCUGAGAGGGUGAUCGGCACACUGGAACUGAGACACGGCCAGACUCCUACGGGAGGCAGCAGUAGGGAAUCUUCCGCAAUGGGCGAAAGCCUGACGGACAACGCCGCGUGAGUGAUGAAGGUCUUCGGAUCGUAAAACUCUGGUAUUAGGGAAGAACAAAUGUGUAGGUGACUUGUGCACGUAUUGACGGUACCUAAUCAGAAAGCCACGGGGUAAAUACGUGCCAAGAGCCGGGUAAUACGUAGGUGGCAAGCGUAAUUCGGAAUAUUGGCGUAAACGCGCGAGGCGGUUCUUAAGGUUGAUGUGAAAGCCCACGGCUUAACCGGGGGGGUAUUGGAAACUGGCAACUUUAGUGCAGAAAAGAAAAGUGGAAUCCAUUUAGGGGGGAAUCCCGGGAAUUGGGGAAACCCAGGGGGAAGGGGAAUUUGGGCCCCCCCCGGUAACCCAUUAAGGGCUAAGGGUUAGGGGGGUUUCCCCCCCUUUAGUGCCCCCGGCUUACGGCUUUUAAGCACUCCGCCUUGGGGGUACGACCGCAAGGUUGAAACUCAAAGGAAUUGACGGGGACCCGCACAAGCGGGGGAGCAUGUGGUUUUAAUUCGAAGCAACCGCGAAGAACCUUACCAAAUCUUGACAUCCUUUGACAACUCUAGAGAUAGAGUCUUCCCCUUCGGGGGACAAAGUGACAGGUGGUGCAUGGUUGUCGUCAGCUCGUGUCGAGAGAUGUUGGGUUAAGUCCCGCAACGAGCGCAACCCUUAAGCUUAGUUGCCAGCAUUAAGUUGGGCACUCUAAGUUGACUGCCGGUGAAAACCGGAGGAAGGUGGGGAUGACGUCAAAUCAUCAUGCCCCUUAUGAUUUGGGCUACACACGUGCUACAAUGGACAAUACAAAGGGCAGCUAAACCGCGAGGUCAUGCAAAUCCCAUAAAGUGGUUCUCAAGUUCGGAUUGUAGGCUGGACUCGACUACAUGAAGCUGGAAUCGCUAGUAAUCGGAGAUAAGCAUGGUACGGGGAAUACGUUUCCGGGUCUUGGACAAACCGGCCGGUAGACCAAGGAGAGUCUGUAACACCCGAAGCCGGGGGGGGUAACCCAUUUAUGGGGCUAGCCGCCGAAGGGGGGACAAAUAAUGGGGGGAAG
rnacentral:rRNA from 1 species